GCAUUACUUUCAGAGCAAGCUACAUGGAAUGGUACUAUAAGUGAAUAACAAAAGUAAAUCACUCAAUUAUGAUCCAGAUUGCUUCACUGAAGUCAGAGAUUUGAACCCAGUUCUUAACUGAACCAAACACGUAACAUCAAGCUGUCUGAAAUCUGAUUGGAUUUUGUAACUCUAUCAUGGAAAUCUGUUGCCUAACUUGACCCCCACAUUUUUGAUGAUGCUUUUUACAAACACCCGUGCAAUUGAGAGUAAAAUCCUGAACACUGAAUCAGCGGUGUGAAACACUGAACUGUUGCUGUUUUGUUUCAGAAGGUUUUCAGUUCUUCCAAUGGUAAAUGACUCACCUAACUCAAGAUUUGUAAAGUACUAUCUGGACUGUAUUGCUAACUGCAAGUCACUGUACAGACUCAUCAUUCAUACAACAAAAAAAGAAGCCCCCAAGCAUACCUCAUCUAUUUGCAUUCCCUUCCUCAGUGCUUGCUUUAUUUCCAAAACUGGAACAAAUAGAGACUGCUCAGUAAUAAUCACCUGAGGCCCUUUCAGCCUUAGCCAGGUGGCAGAAGACGUCCCUCACCCUUAUCCUAUGAGAUUUUCUUUUGCACCAAUAUGCUCGUUCUUUUUGUGUCAUCACAAACACCAUUAUUAGUCCAGUCACUCCUUGCAUGCCAAAUUGGCUUCAGCUCACAGUGGCACACUUGUAAUCCAUUUGUUCCAUUUUACCAUGUGUUCAUAAAUGUAAACUAGAUAUUUGAAAAAAACGAGACCACUAAAAAGAAUCAAUGAGACUAGAGCCUUUCAGAAC